CGGCAGCGCGGACUUCGGUCUGGCGGCGAGUGGCGAACGGGUGAGUAAUAUAUCGGAACGUGCCCAGUAGCGGGGGAUAACUACUCGAAAGAGUAGCUAAUACCGCAUACGCCCUACGGGGGAAAGGGGGGGAUCGCAAGACCUCUCACUAUUGGAGCGGCCGAUAUCGGAUUAGCUAGUUGGUGGGGUAAAGGCCCACCAAGGCGACGAUCCGUAGCUGGUUUGAGAGGACGACCAGCCACACUGAGACUGAGACACGGCCCAGACCCCUACGGGAGGCAGCAGUGGGGAAUUUUGGACAAUGGGGGAAACCCUGAUCCAGCCAUUCCGCGUGUGCGAUGAAGGCCUUCGGGUUGUAAAGCACUUUUGGCAGGAAAGAAAUCGCGCAAAUUAAUACUUUGCGUGGAUGACGGUACCUGCAGAAUAAGCACCGGCUAACUACGUGCCAGCAGCCGCGGUAAUACGUAGGGUGCAAGCGUUAAUCGGAAUUACUGGGCGUAAAGCGUGCGC
rnacentral:rRNA from 1 species